CCGCGAUGGCGACGGGCAGGGAGCGGGGGAGCCUCUCGGGAUAGGGAAUGGCACUGGGCCCGGGAGAGCCACCCGCUGGGGGAGCAGCCCGCGGGAUCGGGAAUGGCAGCGGGCAGGAGCUGCCCCGCCGCCGCCCCGCGGCUCAUCCCCGCUGACCCAGGUCAGCCCGGGGUCAGCUCAGUGCUGGUGUUUAAACAGCUCAGUUGUGUUUCAUCCCGACUGUCGCCUCUCGGGGGUAACGCUGUGUUACGCUCUACAACUCCCUGAAAGGAGGGUGUAGCCAGAUUAUCUAGCUGCCUCAGAAGAGGUCUGUGAAAAGGCCAGAAGAACAUGUGCCUCAGUGAGGGCUGGAAAUAUUAAAUUUUCUUUUCAUGUGCUUCCCAGCUACAAGUCUGCCAGCAGUUCUUUUUUGUCUUCUUUUUCCUUUCUAUCCACUUCUGUGCAGUCAUGUCUUAAUUAAAGCUGUAUUAAACACCGA